UAAGGACAGCCGGCAAUUACAUCAUACAUGUGAUAAAAUAUGCAUGUUUUUGUCUCUCUCCCAAAAGAUUAAGUCUAAAUUCUUCUCACAGGUGUUGACUGAAAGAAUUUGUGUGUAGCUAUUUAGCGACCACAUUCUUACUUGCCAAGGUAGUUCUGCUUUUGAGAUUAACCGUUGAGAAGCCUCACAUUUACAACUGUUGCAGUAAGACAGCAUUCAAAUAUUUCACGAAAUGAUUUAUCUUUAAAUACAAACAGGUAAUUCCAGUUUUAUGAGCGCUGCUGCUGCUUAUUAUUAUUAUUAUUAUUAUUGUUAUUAUACCUCUUAAAGAGCAUUUGUGAACACAUUGCCUUCAACCUUCGCAGUCAUUCGCUCUCCCCCCUUGAGUAUUUCAUGUUGGUAGAUCUGUGCUGCUAACCUGUUUUUCCCAACAAUUCUACUCUUAAGCAACACAUUGGAUUCAGUCUCCUCAUUUCAAAACAAGCAUUCUGUACCCAACAUUUUUUUAAACUAGAUUGUGUCAGCAUUAUUGAGAAAAAUCCUAUAGUACUCUAAAACUAAUUCUCUUUUCUAAUGGAAUUGAUUCAAACUGAAUAUAAUACCAUACAAUUAUAUUUUGUUGAUAGAGUAAUUCUAAAAUAAUAUCUAAAAAUGAGCAAUUCUAAAAUCAUACCUGUUGCUUAUCUACUAUCUGAUAUUAUCCUUCACUCUUUGUUGUGAUUAUUUUUAUAAUAACAACUAUUUGAUUCCAAAAUCAUAACAAAAUUGUAUCAUGAUCAACUGCAGGUCAUUCUGGCUAAUUGUCUGUUUUUUAGAAUAAUAACAUAUCUUUGUCAUGAUGACAUUGGUUAAUUUUCGCUAACAUUUUCUCGAGUGUGCUGCAUAAUUGUCUUCAACAAGCUGAAUUGGAUUACAACCGCAAGCUGCGACAAUGUUACCUAACACUAUGCAAGUGGCUCCUCUGUCAAGGCAAGGAUGUGUGUGAGGCAGUAUGUGAAAUGAAAGGUGAUAAAUGUUGAGAGCACAGUUCACAACAAAUAAGUCAAAAUCCCCUUUGAAAAUCAUUGACAGUUUCAAUAUCCAUAUAUGAUGUUGAGGAUGCAUAUUGGUCAACUGGAUGAACAUAAUUAACACUGCAUAAUACUGCAAAGUUGUAACUUAUUUACGCAAGAAUGAAUUCUUAACAUGAACACCAAUUCUAUAACUAUAGUGUUAUAUAAUGUGUUUUCUCAGAAACAUGAGCAAAUCAUUAUUAUACUAGCCAUGUACAUCCCUGCACAGUAUAUGUUACUGCAGCUGAAGCGGGAUAACAAACAGAGUUUAUCCUGCACGUUCUGAGCUGUGUUUCUGAGGGUUUUCUAAGGGUCUCCAGACAUAUCAAAAGAGAAAAAAAAACAAUGCACUAUUUUUGACCCAUACCUAAUUUAGCAACAGUUAGACAGUUACAGUUAUUAAAAAUUAUGCAUUACAUUGUCUUUCAAUCCCUUCGUGCAAUACUUGAGGGAUACAUGCAAAUGUGUAGAACCAGACAUCUUUUUCAGUAUUCCAAAACAAACAAACAAUUAAAUAAAUAAAUAACCUUUUAGAUACUGUGUCUGAUUUAACAUUGACUCUUUUUUUUUUUUGCUGUGCUAUGGAAAAAUGUUUGGUUGGGCUGUGAAACAAGCAUGCUCUGCUACUCUCCACCCAAGGGCAGCCGACAGUGUGUAGGCGUCUUGCCAUGAAACAAUAAUAGAAAUAUCUCUUCAGCAAGCAGUCUAAAGGUCUUUCAGCUUACAGUUUGGUUUGAAACCAGGGCUCAGAUCUUACAGGAAGGCUGACUUUACCCCAGACCUUGCUGAUAAGUGUAGCCUAUAGUCAUAUGCAUCUUCACUUUAACCAUCACUUUAGUGUGCAAGGCUUUGUCAUGUAUAUUCAUCUCUUUUUGUCUGUUUUAAAUGCUGGCCUUAAAUGACCACAACGGGAAGUAAGGCCCAUAUCUCCCAAGUGGUGCAGUUACAAAAGGCCCAGAGUGCAGACCAACUGAUGCAAUAUCACUGCGCACUGCUUGUGCCAAAGACUAAGGCAGAGGUUACUUUAUCUUG